AGCUUGCUUCCAGGCGUCGAGCGGCGGACGGGUGAGUAACGCGUAGGAAUCUACCCAGUAGCGGGGGAUAGCCCGGGGAAACCCGGAUUAAUACCGCAUACGCCCCACGGGGGAAAGCAGGGGAUCUUCGGACCUUGCACUAUUGGAUGAGCCUGCGUUGGAUUAGCUAGUUGGUGGGGUAAAGGCCUACCAAGGCGACGAUCCAUAGCUGGUCUGAGAGGAUGAUCAGCCACACUGGGACUGAGACACGGCCCAGACUCCUACGGGAGGCAGCAGUAGGGAAUAUUGGACAAUGGGGGCAACCCUGAUCCAGCCAUGCCGCGUGUGUGAAGAAGGCUUUCGGGUUGUAAAGCACUUUCAGCAAGGAGGAAAUGGCAGCGGAUAAUACCCGCCGUCUAUGACGUUACUCGCAGAAGAAGGACCGGCUAACUCCGUGCCAGCAGCCGCGGUAAUACGGAGGGUCCGAGCGUUAAUCGGAAUUACUGGGCGUAAAGCGCGCGUAGGCGGUUAGAUCAGUUGGGUGUGAAGGCCCCGGGCUCAACCUGGGAACUGCAUUCAAUACUGUCUGACUGGAGUAUGGGAGAGGGCAGUGGAAUUCCAUGUGUAGCGGUGAAAUGCGUAGAUAUGUGGAGGAACACCAGUGGCGAAGGCGACUGCCUGGCCCAAUACUGACGCUGAGGUGCGAAAGCGUGGGGAGCGAACAGGAUUAGAUACCCUGGUAGUCCACGCCGUAAACGAUGUCAACUAGCCGUUGGAGGACUUGUUCCUUUAGUGGCGCAGCUAACGCGAUAAGUUGACCGCCUGGGGAGUACGGCCGCAAGGUUAAAACUCAAAUGAAUUGACGGGGGCCCGCACAAGCGGUGGAGCAUGUGGUUUAAUUCGAUGCAACGCGAA
rnacentral:rRNA from 1 species